GUGGGGAAUUUUGGAUAAUGGGCGCAAGCCUGAUCCAGCAAUGCCGCGUGCAGGAAGAAGGCCUUCGGGUUGUAAACUGCUUUUGUACGGAACGAAACGGUCCUGGUUAAUACCUGGGGCUAAUGACGGUACCGUAAGAAUAAGCACCGGCUAACUACGUGCCAGCAGCCGCGGUAAUACGUAGGGUGCGAGCGUUAAUCGGAAUUACUUGGCGUAAAGCGUGCGCAGGCGGUGCUGUAAGACAGGCGUGCAAUCCCCGGGCUCAACCUGGGAAUUGCGCUUGUGACUGCAGUGCUGGAGUACGGCAGAGGGGGAUGGAAUUCCGCGUGUAGCAGUGAAAUGCGUAGAUAUGCGGAGGAACACCGAUGGCGAAGGCAGUCCCCUGGGCCUGUACUGACGCUCAUGCACGAAAGCGUGGGGAGCAAACAGGAUUAGAUACCCCUGUAGUCC
rnacentral:rRNA from 1 species